rnacentral:rRNA from 1 species
GGUCAAGAAGAGAAGCGCAAACGGUGGAUGCCUUGGCAGUAAGAGGCGAAGAAGGACGUGGAAUCCUGCGAAAAGCUAUGGGGAGCUGGAAACGAGCGUUGAGCCAUAGAUGUCCGAAUGGGGGAACCCGGCUGCAGCGAUGCGGUCAUUUGCAUUUGAAUACAUAGGAUGCAAAGGCGAACUCGGGGAACUGAAACAUCUAAGUACCCGAAGGAAAAGAAAUCAAGAGAGAUUCUCCAAGUAGCGGCGAGCGAACGGGGAGGAGCCUGGCGUGAUUUAUUAUUGAACUGAGUAGAACAAUUUGGGAAAGUUGGCGAUAGAGGGUGAAAGCCCCGUAUACGAAGGUUUGAUGAGGAACUAGGCACGCGAACAAGUAGGCCGGGACACGUGAAAUCCUGGUUGAAGAUGGGUGGACCAUCAUCCAAGGCUAAAUACUACUUACUGACCGAUAGUGAACCAGUACCGUGAGGGAAAGGUGAAAAGAACCCCGGAGAGGGGAGUGAAAUAGAAUCUGAAACCGUUUGCGUACAAGCAGUGGGAGCAUGGUUUAGGCUGUGUGACUGCGUACCUUUUGUAUAAUGGGUCAGCGAGUUACUUUCAGUGGCGAGGUUAACUGCAUAAGGGAGCCGUAGAGAAAUCGAGUCUGAAUAGGGCGAUAGUCGCUGGGAGUAGACCCGAAACCGGGCGAUCUAGCCAUGUGCAGGAUGAAGGUUGGGUAACACCAACUGGAGGUCCGAACCGGGUAAUGUUGAAAAAUUAUCGGAUGACGUGUGGCUAGGAGUGAAAGGCUAAUCAAGCCCGGAGAUAGCUGGUUCUCCCCGAAAGCUAUUUAGGUAGCGCCUCGUGAAUGAUUACUGGGGGUAGAGCACUGUUUCGGCUAGGGGGCUGUCAUGGCUUACCAAACCGAUGCAAACUCCGAAUACCGGCUAAUUG